rnacentral:misc_RNA from 1 species
AGCAGCCGCGGUAAUUCCAGCUCCAAUAGCGUAUAUUAAAGUUGUUGCAGUUAAAAAGCUCGUAGUUGAAUUUCGAGAUCAAAUUGUUGGUCGUGCCUUGGUACGCACUGGCAUUAUUGGUUUCUCCCUUCUGACGAACCAUGAUGUCAUUAAUUUGGUGUCUUGGGGAAUCAGGACUGUUACUUUGAAAAAUUAGAGUGUUUAAAGCAGGCUCACGCUUGAAUACAUUAGCAUGGAAUAAUGAAAUAGGACGUUUGAUUCUAUUUUGUUGGUUUCUAGGAUCGACGUAAUGAUUAAUAGGGAUAGUUGGGGGCAUUAGUAUUCAAUUGUCAGAGGUGAAAUUCUUGGAUUUAUUGAAGACUAACUACUGCGAAAGCAUUUGCCAAGGAUGUUUUCAUUAAUCAAGAACGAAAGUUAGGGGAUCGAAGACGAUCAGAUACCGUCGUAGUCUUA